rnacentral:lncRNA from 1 species
AAUGAUUCACAAAAGCUUGAAAUGUUUCUAACACAAACGAAACGAUUCCUACAAUAUAAACACGAUUACAAGCUAUUCAAAUAACAGUUGGUACAUGAAGCAAUGAAGCACUCUAUCAGGUCCCUGCUGUUUUUCAAGCUUGAAACUCUCUCUUUUGAAUGAAUGAGUAAUCUUGUUGUUUGUUUCGGAAUAUAUUAGUCAUGAAGAGUUAUUAUCCAAUGUACAAACAACCUCGUCGCUUCUGAUUGGUGUAGUACACUGCAGCUUCACCAACUUUCUGACGCAGACAGCUUUACCAGUUGUACAACAUAUGACACUGGACGAGUAUACUUUGCAGAGGACCAGGUCCCUGCACUUGUGAGGAGAUCAUCAAAACAUCUAGGAGCGUUGACACUUAUCACAUAUCCAAUUUGAAAAAGAAAGGACUAAUUUGAAUCUCAUUAAACAAAUGAGUUGAGUUAAUAUCUUAAAAGGUCACUCAACUAUGAGAAAUUAUCUAAGAAUUAAAGUCAUUGAAUUUUGUUUUGUAUUAAUAAAAUCACCCAACUUAAAAAAUUUAUCUUCAAAUAUCACUCAACUAAAUUUAUCAUUAAAACAAAUUUAGCAUGACAAUUUUUUUUUCUUAUGCCAUUUAAUCAUGAACCCACCAAAAAAUAUAUUAUGACAUAAUAGAUGUUUGAAAUAACCACAAAAAAUUAUAAAAAUAAUAUCUAUAUUUUGCUAUGAUUUCUAAUCUUCUUCUUCUGAACCUCAACAACCUCUCUUAGAAGUACAAGAUUGUCCAGCAGUUUUAAUACCUUUAAUUACAACUUUGUCAACACCUUGAGCAGCCAGUACAUUAGUUUUAAUAGUUAUUACUGGUUCUGCAUUUAGUUCCUUGUGAACAAAAAAAAUAAAGAUCUUGGCAGAGAAAACGUUCAAAUUGUAUUACUUUUAAAGUAAAAUCAUUAGUUGAGUUAUGGUCGAUUGAUAUGCCAAAUUUAAAUUUUGGAGAUUAUCGUUUCACGUAUCCAGGUAAUAAUCUCAGUCAUUCGAAGCUUCAUCAGUUGGAAUAUAAUUUAUUUUGUCAUAUCAAAUUUAUUUUAAUGAUUAAUAUAGUUGAGUGAUUUUUGAAGAUAAAAGCCUUAAGUUGAGUGUUUUUAUUGAUACAUAACAUAGUUCAAUGACUUUUCUAGAUAAUUUUAUAUAGUUGAUUGACCUUUUAAGAUAUUAACUCUCAAACAAAUAGAUGAAUAGGAACAGAGCAAAAAAGGAAACACCUCUAGAAAAAAAUUAAAGAACAGGAAAAAACAAAAACACUCAAUUUUUAUAAUUUAGCUGUUUGACAUGGAGUAGUGUGUGGAUUUUUAUGCCACAAAGAUAAUAUGUCACAAAUUAAAACAAAAUGAGUGGCUUAUUUAAUUUAACCCCAUUCAAAUUGCAGAAAUAUGAUAUGUAUACUUUUCUUGAAUAGGAAUAGCGUGCAUGAUAUAUUGAUAUCAAGAAUCAGAACAUCAUGAGAUGACAAAGAGCAAGCUCUUACUCAAUGCAACAUCACGGCCAUUCAAGGUUUUCUCCACGGAGUUUGUGAAGUGAGAUUGAGAUUUCUCAAAGUCGGUGUAAUGUGAAUCCUGCAAGCUUUUAAUCAAGUGCCGAAUGUAGACAUGAGGUCACAAAUUCUCUUGAUUUGUAUAGUGAAUUUUCUUCUCUUUUUGAUUUUCAUUCUCAAGUUUUCUUUUUAAAAUUUGUAAUAAUUCACUUAAAAGUUCUCAUUACAAGAAUUGUAGAGAAAGACAAAGAAA